GACGAACGCUGGCGGCGUGCUUAACACAUGCAAGUCGAGCGGUAAGGCCCUUUCGGGGGUACGACGAGCGGCGAACGGGUGAGUAACACGUGGGUGACCUGCCCUCCAGCUCUGGGAGUAAGCCUGGGAAACGUGGGUCGUAAUACUGGAUAUGACUCCACGGUGCAUGUCGUGGGGUGGAAAGCCUUGUGCGGCUGAGGAUGGGCCCGCGGCCUAUCAGCUUGUUGGUGGGGUGAGGCCUACCAAGGCGACGACGGGUAGCCGGCCUGAGAGGGCGACCGGCCACACUGGGACUGAGACACGGCCCAGACUCCUACGGGAGGCAGCAGUGGGGAAUCUUGCGCAAUGGGCG
rnacentral:rRNA from 1 species